GAAGAAAGUUAAAGGUUUUUUGUGGAAGUAUGGUGGUGGAAUGGACAAGGUUGAUACUCUUCGGAUUACAGAGACUGACUUCUCCAAGUGGGAGAAGAAGUGCAAUCUUUCGAAGAAGGGAGCUCUUGAUGGAGGAUCUCGGGCAAUGUCAAUUGGACCGUCGAAUGGGAUGAAAGAUCACAGAUAUUUGAAAACAAAAUGCAUGGUGUUACAAAUGGACCUAAUAUGCGCAGUACGUCCAUGGGCGUACAACUCGGUGAAGAUGCUUGUUCCUCCAGUGGCUUAUCAA
rnacentral:misc_RNA from 1 species